GACGAACGUUGGCGGCGUGCUUAACACAUGCAAGUCGAACGGAAAGGCCCUGCUUUUGUGGGGUGCUCGAGUGGCGAACGGGUGAGUAACACGUGAGUAACCUGCCCUUGACUUUGGGAUAACUUCAGGAAACUGGGGCUAAUACCGGAUAGGAGCUCCUGCUGCAUGGUGGGGGUUGGAAAGUUUCGGCGGUUGGGGAUGGACUCGCGGCUUAUCAGCUUGUUGGUGGGGUAGUGGCUUACCAAGGCUUUGACGGGUAGCCGGUCUGAGAGGGUGACCGGCCACAUUGGGACUGAGAUACGGCCCAGACUCCUACGGGAGGCAGCAGUGGGGAAUAUUGCACAAUGGGCGGAAGCCUGAUGCAGCAACGCCGCGUGCGGGAUGACGGCCUUCGGGUUGUAAACCGCUUUCGCCUGUGACGAAGCGUGAGUGACGGUAAUGGGUAAAGAAGCACCGGCUAACUACGUG
rnacentral:rRNA from 1 species